rnacentral:rRNA from 1 species
AAUCAACGCUGGCGGCGUGCCUAACACAUGCAAGUCGAACGAGAAAGUGGAGCAAUCCAUGAGUACAGUGGCGCACGGGUGAGUAACACGUGACUAACCUACCCUUGAGUGGGGGAUAACUGAGGGAAACCUUAGCUAAUACCGCAUAAUACCUACGGGUCAAAGGAGCAAUUCGCUUAAGGAGGGGGUCGCGGCCGAUUAGUUAGUUGGCGGGGUAAUGGCCCACCAAGACGAUGAUCGGUAUCCGGCCUGAGAGGGCGCACGGACACACUGGAACUGAAACACGGUCCAGACUCCUACGGGAGGCAGCAGUGGGGAAUUUUGCGCAAUGGGGGAAACCCUGACGCAGCAACGCCGCGUGGAGGAUGAAGUCCUUCGGGGCGUAAACUCCUUUCGAUCGGGACGAUAAU